GACGAACGCUGGCGGCGUGCUUAACACAUGCCGGUCGAACGGAAAGGCCCUGCUUGCAGGGUACUCGAGUGGCGAACGGGUGAGUAACACGUGGGUGAUCUGCCCUGCACUUCGGGAUAAGCCUGGGAAACUGGGUCUAAUACCGGAUAGGAGCCAUUUUUAGUGUGAUGGUUGGAAAGUUUUUUUCGGUGUAGGAUGAGCUCGCGGCCUAUCAGCUUGUUGGUGGGGUAAUGGCCUACCAAGGCGGCGACGGGUAGCCGGCCUGAGAGGGUGGACGGCCACAUUGGGACUGAGAUACGGCCCAGACUCCUACGGGAGGCAGCAGUGGGGAAUAUUGCACAAUGGGCGCAAGCCUGAUGCAGCGACGCCGCGUGGGGGAUGACGGCCUUCGGGUUGUAAACUCCUUUCGCUAGGGACGAAGCUUUUUGUGACGGUACCUAGAUAAGAAGCACCGGCUAACUACGUG
rnacentral:rRNA from 1 species